UGAUAAAAUUCCCCCCAAUCAAUGACCUCCAUUUCAAAUUUCUUCCCUCGCAUUGAAAAAGAAAACCCUAGCCACAAACAUCUCUCAUUCUAGAAAAAACCUAACCUCAAUCUUCAACAGUAUUGCACGACCAACGUUCUUCGUCUUCAAACACUAGACAUCCAGCCAUCUUCGGUUACUCUUCGAUCAUCAUUCUUCAAAUCCGGUGUGGAAUACUUCAAUUUCGUUCCAGAAAUGGGGCAAUUGGCUUUUAGAUUUCAAUUUCAAGAGCUGAUGAGCAUGGAGUUAAAAUAAUCAAGCAUGUCAAAGGAGGAUUGAAUCCAAGUUCAGUUUAUCAGUUGCAAUUCAACAGUCCACAUCUCAGAGAAUCAGUAAAAAUUGGUGCGGUCAUUGCUCUAACGGAAGCUGUGGCAGUUGGCAGGUCGUUUGCUACAGUAAAGGGGUAUAAUAUGGAUAGGAAUAAAGAAAUGAUAGCUAUGGGGGUUAUGAAUAUUGCGCUGGAUCUAUGACUUCCUGCUAUGUUGCCACAGGUUCAUUUUCGCGCACUGCUGUAAACUUUUUUGCUGGCUGUCAAACAGCAGUGUCUAACGUAGUCAUAGCCAUCACGGUGCUCUUAAUGCCACAAUUUUUAACGGGGCUACUGUACUACACUCCGGUUGCCAUACUAUCCUUGAUUAUCUUAUCUGCACUACCGGGACUAAUCAACUAUACUGAAGCUUAUAAUAUCUGGAAAGUUGACAAACUCGACUUUUUGGCUUGUGCCGGAGCUUUCUAUGGUGUGUUGUUUGCUUCGGUAGAGAUAGGUCUUAUGGUUGCGGUUUACGUUAUAGAUUACCGUCUGGCCAAAAAGUAUAGGGAUCUCCAUACACAUAAGCAUAUACCAUACAGGUCGGAGAUGAAGUUUUCCUCAAAAGCAUUCCAAACUCUACCGAGACUGUAGCAAGAGGAAGGGUCCAGAGCUUGGACCCAAAUGAUCUAGUUGGUGGUACAAAGAUUGGGCCAGAAUGGUGUGAGGUAGUCCAUGAGGAUUGAGGACGCAUGAUGACUCAAGAUUUUAUGCUUCUUAUUUCUUUAAUUGCUUUUAAUUUCUUUGUUAAAUGUUAAGACUUUAAGUUAGAUAAUGUUAUAACUUAUUUAUGGUUAGUGUUUUUG